GUUGGAUCAAACUAGAAUAUGCAAAAAUGGUCUUAGCAUACGAUUCAAACAGAAUAGAUCAUUACAUCAUCAUCAUAAUCAACAUUAAAAAGCUAAACAUUAAACAUCGAAAGUUUACGAUUACAAAAUUGCCACACCAUUCACUUGUGUCUAUUCACGGUUUAUGACUAAUCAAUCAUCACGAACUGGUGUAACACUGCGACUGGAGGUAUUGAUUUCUACUUUAGAAUCAAAACAACAUUUAGUGUUACUCACACAAGAUACGAUUUUGACAACUUUUUGACAAAACCACUGAAAAUGUACCGCAUGUACCGUUGUUGUUACCGUGCGUUCAUAGACGUUACUUUCAAAAGCCGUGCGUAAAUGGCAUCGAGGCCACGAGGGUCAGUGAAGCCUCAGUCUUAUAUUAAGGAGGCUACGCUAGAAGAUCAGUUAGUGCCAAAAUUUUGCGAAAAAAUGG